ACACCGUUGAAAGAUGAAGAAGAAAGAGAUGAGAAAAAGAUUGAUGGAGGGACAGCUUUGGAAGUGAGUGAGAAUGAAGCCAUUUUCAUUACAUUUCAGUAACCACAGGAGAGGAGGCAUGAACAGUGAUAACAUUUCUGCCAAAUAUGAAGUUUUGCAGUAAAACGAUUAAAAUGUGUUAAAUACCAGAGCUUGAUUAGUUCAGCUUCCUCAGCUUGCAUUAAAACCAAACUCCUGUUUCCGCUGAUGCUGUGGAUUUCUGAACGUAACCUCGGGAGAUAAUAUAUUUCAGCCUUGCAUGGCACUAUUUCUCUCUUUAACAGAUAACGUGUGUAGGACUGUAUAUACAUAUAUUUUCCUAACCUUUUGCACAGAUUGGAUUUCAUUGUGGAAUGUGCCUUCUUGCAUGAAAAAGAACAAAUUUUCCCUGUGAAGCUCAAAUUCCUGUUAAUCGAACAUUAAGAUUAAAAGAAAAACACCCCUCUAAACUCUGCCAUGUUUUACCAGCAGCAAUAGAUUUCAUCCUCGUGUGGAUGUGGGUUUAUUUCAGGAUAGCAUUAGACCAAAUCCCCCCUGUGACAAGUUUGAAAAGUGAGCUUGGAGUGUUUUGUUUACUUCAGAAACAUGUGAGCCAGCUGGCUGUAGCAGUAAGAAUCUAUUAACAUGGUCCACUUUAAUUCUCAAGCUGAUUAAAUGUCCCACUCCACUGCUCCAUAUAGACACCUGAUGGGCAGCAUAAAACCUUGCCCAGCUGUACAGGCCUGAGGCGGAGGUCCGAUGUCACAGCAGGGUUGAACUGAAUAUCUUAGCAUCUGCUCCUGUCUGCUUGAGAAGCAUGGACAGAUUAGGGAACCUGGCGGGGUCUGUGAUUAUCUCGGGGCCUUGUCUGAGACAGAGCUGUGGCCGGCAGAGGCCCACAAGGCGGUGUCGCCUUCCUCAAAUUGAAUUGGGAAGGAUUUGAAGGGUUUAAAGGCUUUGGCACUGGGUGAGAGGGAAUCAGAUAGGGGGCGAAGACGCUUGGAUGCUGUGAAAAGCUUGAUAGUGGAGGGGCACAAAUUGAGAGGUAUAGAGGGAAAGAUUGGAGGAAGAGAAGACAAAGUGUUGCUGUUUAAGUGAAGAUCAUUUUUAGGUUACAUUGUCUGUGGCUUUAGCUCUCCAAACAACAAUUACACUCUCGAACCCUACACUUCGAUAUUUAAACAGCUGAGGCAGACACUAAUCAUCCUGUUGCCCUUAGCAUAAGGAGGGGUAGAGCUCCAGUGAGGAAUUUAUUCCAGGUUAUGAAACAAACCAACAUUAGUACUGAAGCCCCCAUGUGAGUGACAAAAGCAAACAAGACCACCAUCAUAAAGAUUAACUAAGAUUAUUCUGAGGUGGAUGUGGUUAUUAACUAGUGUUGUGUCGUUCGCAAACGCUUCGUUCAAAAGGACCAAAUCUUUGAAGUGAACGUACUCAAUCGAAUCACUUCCUCAAAUGAUUUGUUCGUUUCUCACUUCAGUUGAGCUGUCAGCAGGGCAGAUGCUAUAGCAUGCAGUAUUGCCAGGCGAGCAGCCAGUGAACGAGGGACCACAUGCACAGACACCUGAAUCACUUGGUAAGGGAAUCACAUUUUUUUUUGUUUGUUUUACUGUUAAAUUGCCACCGCAACAACUUGCAAACAAAAGGACACAGCAUGUAACAAGUAGUGCAUAAAACCCGCAGCAUUCUAUCAUUGCAGCGGUUUGUGAGGGAACGGUGCAUGUUCAGUGUGAAUUCUUCUAAACCUUCAGUGAACGAAUCACUCAUUGAGCCCAAUUUCCUGAGCAGACCUGAUAAAUAGCAUAUCAUAGGACAGUACACUUAAAACAUCCUGAUUUAUUAACAAGUUCCUUUUUACAAACCUGUUUGCCAAAGCAACACAGCCAAACACUCUUGUCUACGGGUCCCAGAAGCUAUGAAUUGAACUGAAUCCUGAACCGUUCAGCUGUGUAUCAGUUCAGGAGGUCAGAGUCACAGGCUCCUCCCGCCAAGCACUGAAUGAUUCAGUGAUUUGAUGAACAAAUCUUUUGAACGAAUCUUUUUAGUGAACUGAUUCUAGUGAUUCAGUUCAUCUAACAGAACUGCCGUGCCCAUAACUAUUAAUAACAGCUCAUCUGCAGAAUGCACCGGAGUUCAAAUUCAUAAGUGGUUUAAAUGAAAUCAUACAUUUGAUCAAUCGACCUGACUAAAAGAGAAAAACACUUUAAUAACAGUAUGAAUGUACACUUAUUUUUCAUUGUAAAGAGGAGUUUAAUGAACAUGAAUACAUUCAAACAUGAAAAACUCCAAACCUUUGUCUUCACCCAAUUUUAGCACCCCUAUAAACAAAGAGAUGCCUCUUGUUUUGUGUCGAUCUUGACCUGUAUGUGUAUAGGUAGUGUUUAUUGCGAUAAAAACUCUUUUUUGCUUUCUUUUGACAGUUUGAUGUAUCAAUUAUUGUGAAUAUUUACUGCGCAAACAGUAGAGCAAAGGCUAUAAGCACGUUUUUUACCACUUUAAUAAAAACCACUUCUCCGAAAUAGUUAAUCCUGUCGCUGGUGGUCCUGUUCACUUUUAUAGGUCAAAGAGGCAUCCCUGUUAAUUCUCAUUAGUUUCGAAACCAGCUAUACUUCACAGGAGCUUUGAAGUGAAACAUUUUGUCACACUUCUGACUCAGAAAAAAAUAAAAUCUGCGUGCUCCCCACAGGAAAAAUAACCUGAAAAUGAUUCAUUGUUUGUUUUUUUGAAGUAGUAAGCAAAAAUGACCACGAGGGAAAUUGUGACUAAAGCGGUGUCCUUUGAAGAAAGAAAUACAGGAUUCCUGUCAGGGAAACACACCACAACCAGAAGUAAUAUCAUCAAGAUCAACUUCAAACUGUGUCUUCAUUUGCAUUUCUGUCUGCUUUUCUGUGUGUUCUCAAAUCAAACCCAGCUUUUUUUCCCUCUAGUAGCACUUUGGGAUAUUUUCUUGAAGAAAGCUCAAAACUGAGUACACGUGUAUAAUUCUUAUUUAGUGCAAAAAUGCUAUUUCUUUUCAAUCUCAGGUGUUUGACAGCAGUGAAAAGGACACACGCCAAAGCAAACUCUUUGUGGUCUUGUCAUUAAGCUGCAAGAGAAAGAAAAUGGAAGUGUGUUUGAUGCAGAGAGCCUAUAGAAUAUAUACUCAUCCUCAGUACAGCACUGUUAGUGAAAUAUAUAGAGAGAAAUACACAGUGUUUAGGUGCCAAAACAGUCAGUGCAGCAGAGUGUGUAACUCAGUGCUGGAAAGGAGCCCUGUCUGGCUGUUAGGAGGUUGGAUGUGAGACCUGUGGCAGGUAGGUGUAAAGUGACAGCACAUUAACUCUAACUCUCCCUUUAUUUUCACCACAGCAUUCCCAAUUUGUGGACUGACAGGCUCUUAAUGACCCCUUCAAGAAGAGACCUUCCCUCGCUUCCAGAACCCGAGGGUCAGGACCGCUCGUUGUCAUGGUUCCCAAACAAUCUCACAAACUGUCAGUCCUCUCGGAAGAGACAAAAUGAGCUGGGGUGGAAAAGAGUGGGAAAAAGAGGUGUGUCUGUAACAUACGGAUGAAAGAACACAAGUAUAACAAAAUACCCAAUAAAAAUGGAAGCUAUUUCCAGGAUUUGAACAGUAAAAGGCUGUGAAAUAUGCAAUAUUCCAAGGUAAGUCAAAGAUUGUGGAAGGCUGCCUCAUUGAUUUAUCAAUAUUUUUAAUCUGACAAAGUGGAGAAGUAGAGGAAACUCCACAGUGAACAUGUUGAGGACUGAGAGUGCUGCACAGAAACGUUGUUUGCCUCUCACCACCAGCAACCCAGCAGCCCAACAGAACAAGAUCGCACUGUGUUGUUGGACAGACAUCAAAGCCAUGAGGACUCAAAUAGUUUUUCUGUCACACUGAGUGACCCAGCAGCACUUCUCCUCCUCCACACACACACACACACACAAACAAACACAAACACACACACAAGUACACACACACAUAAGUCCAUAGAAAACCCAUGCAUGCACAAAUUAACCCACACCAAAAAUGCACCAUUGAAACUGUCCUUUAGCAUUGUGAGAAAAUACACGUUAUUUCCCUUUAAAGUCAGUUAUCUCGACACAGUUUCACACAGUUUUGUAAUCUGCCACAGCUGUCUUGACUUUUGACCCCUCAGUUACCCAGUACCACUAGCACUGCCAAACUUCACUCAGCCUUUCUAUCCCACCGCUCAUGCGGCAUCUGUGGAAAUGUACACCAAAGGUUUUUGUGGCUAAAGUUAGCAUGGUAGCCUUCAAACCACACAAGGAGAGAGGUGAGAGGUGAGGAUGUUUUCACACUUACAGAGUCCUGGGCCUUUGAGGAGGUUCCCCCCAAGAAGAUAUUAGAUUUCAAACGUGUGUUUAACUCACAGCAUGUGGGGACUAAGGGAAACCCUUAGAAAGCACUCACAAAAGAAAAGGCUUUGUGAGUCAAUAAAGACAUUUAUAAGUAAAGACAAAAACAUAUGAGCAAAAGCUGUUCUUGAGUUAUUGUUAUAAAGCAUUAAAUCAAGGAAAGUUGUCAAAAAGCUGCAAUCUAACACAGAACUUUCAAAGUUAACUGUGGUAAACUCCCUUGUCUGGGAGCUUUCAAAAGUGAAUGUACUAUUCAAAAGUGCAGUGGUGUGGUUAUUUACCGUCACAGUAAUAGCAGGAUGAUGUUCCAGGAGCUCACAGUGUGUAAAUAACACAUGAUUGAAGAGAAUUGACACGUUAAUUUCUGACCUUAAUCCAAUCUGGAUUCAGGCACUAAUGCUAACAGCCCUUAUUUUAUAAAUGUGACAUCCCUUUUACAUUUCAAUUUGAAUCUCAUCCUCAGGAAGCUUAUUAUAUGUCUGACACCUGCAUAGUUCUCUGAUGUGAGCCUAUUAGACUUAACUCAAACAGAAAUGUUUGUUGCAAGUUACUGUCAUUUCUUUUUAAUCUUACAGAAAAUGUUAUACUUGGAUGUUUUGAACACAAGUCUGGAUGAUUGGGGGGAGUCAAGCCUCGGCAUCUAAUCGCCACAGACAAACUGCAUUACCCAAGAUAGUCCUGUCUCAAUAUUUCUCUAAAUUUGUUCUCUCGGUACAAAUUGAAGUCAAUUAUCUGGGGCAGGAUUGGAUUAAAAAGCUACGGUUUUCAGGGAAGAGACUGAGUUCUGGUAAGAACUCCAGUAUCAGACUCUUUCCAGUAAUAGCAAUUAUGAUUAUUUGUAUUUAUCCAUAGUGCUUCAGUUCUGACAGACUGUAGAAAAUAGGCUGCACAUCAUAGAGCAGUCAUGGAUAGGUGCCCACUUUGCUCUGCAGUUGGUGAAGAAUUGAAUCAGCAAAGACAACGGCAGUUAUCAAAUACUCUGAUAUUUAUUAAUCAUCUCCAAGUCAUUACUGUAGUGUUUCCAGAAUCUGAUUACUUUUUGAAUAUAAAACAACUCAUAUAAAUUCCAGUAAUAGGCAAAGCUGAAAAAAUGUUUGGUGGCUAGUGUUAUGGCUGGGACCCUGUAUGUACUGUUGAUGAAGUUAGGUGCUGUUCUGAGCAUUAUUUGUGGCUAUAGAGUGGCUUUUUGGUUGAAGUUUGUGUGUGGCUCCUCAGACCGCUGUGAAGCAAGUAGUCGGCAACAUUCAUCUCUCAAGGGGAUGUCUAACUCGGUGUUACGGUCUAUUUGACCCUAAAUUAAUUUUACGCCGGACUAUCCCUUUAAGUUAAAACCAUUUCAGUCAGAAGCUGCUUUUAAGUAUUUAUCUUAAAAUAUUUGACAUUCAACUCAUUUCAUAAUCCAUAAUUUGAUCCAAUAUACUUAUCAAUUUUAAUUCAGUGUUACUACAACUGAGCUGAGAUAAAAAGACAUCUUUCACUCUAAAGAAACUGUCUAAUAGAAACUUAAAACAGAGAGUACAAAAAGGAAACUACGAUAAAUAUUCUCUUUUCUUUGUUUAAAUACAGAGAAAUAAUACAAAGGAUAAAUUCCACACAAACAGCCACAGACAGGCUGCUUUUCCUUUGUAGAUGACCUGAGUCUUCAUCAAAUUCAACACUCAGCACAUGUGGAAAAAACAAAAAUGAAACCAUCCCACAGCAAAGUGUGACUGUGUGACUGUGCACGUGGAUACACUCCAGCCCCCCUGCUGUGUAAUCUAAUGGUGUCGGUCCAAAAAAAAGAGUAAGGACCUCUCCAUGGAAAAAGCGAUGGACUUAAUUAACAGUGAUUGACAGGACCCAGGAGCUGUGGAGCAGCAUGUCUUUUUAUCCAGUCAUGUUGAGUACAACUUUUCAGCUGAAUGCAAAAUGGUGAGUUGUAGUUUGGGGCUUGAGGGAAUUACUGCAGGCAGAUUUUUCUUUGUAAAAACGCAAGAAAUAGUCUAAACUGCUUAAGUGUUAUUAUGUCAGAGAAUGUAGUGAAGUAGAAAUAUCUGCUAACACAGGAUUAGUACUCCCUCUAUGUGGGGCUUAGUCACUCACUCCAAAUAAUUUAUGCCCAAAUGAUUCUUAAAUACUGAUGUGUCACCAUUUUAAUGACCCAAAAAGUAUGAGUAAACGUGUAGUGUGGACAAGGAAGGCUGGCGUGUUCACCCUCUGAGGACACACAUCCUCUGUGACUGACCAAACAAACACUGAGUGCCACAACUCGCCCGAGGAGCAAACAAACAUGCAUUCAUCAGUGGCGUCAGCCCGUCACAAAGCUGUCACAAUUUCGCACUUUUCAGAAGCAUGAGCGGCUUUUUAACUCAGUCCAGAAUCCAUUUUUACCCACGUCCCUCAUCACUCUUAGAGGUGGAGUUGUAGAUAAAGUGAAGAUAGAGUGCUGUAAUUAACCAAGAGGAGGUGGACUUUAAAGGCAGACAGGGCUGAUCAAUGCUGAUGAACAUGGAGGGCAGUGGGUAGUGGAGGCCCCCCCUUAACACAAAACUCUGUGCGGUCAAUCAGGGAGAGUGCUCGAGCCAACCCCAGGUUAACUGCACUCCUACAAAAAUGGGCUCGAAUGGAUCAGCCCUAUUACUCUGGUGACAAUUAGAAAAGACAACUAUUUUUUAAGAUAACCACAAGGUACCUGUGCUUCAACAGAAAGGAUACAUGCUUAGUGGUCACAUCUAAAUCACAAUCACAGUAAACUAAUGCAACUCCUACCUUCCCAACAGAAAUCUGACAAUCUCAGAGAAAGUUUUGGUUUUGUCAUUAGGGUUUUCAGUCUAUGAAUGGUAGCACCGAUAUUGUCCGUGUCAUAAUCUUGUCGUACCAUCUACACAGGACCAUUCAGGGGCUGCCUUUCCCUGUUGUCCGGGGAACAGUGGAAACACAAUCACUGAUUGGCCCGGUUAUUUUCUGAUUUCUAAUACACGCUCCCAACUGGCCGAAGUCCAGACUGUUGUGGGAAGGAACGGCAAGUGAUUCACGCAACAGGAUGGCCCAGCCAGGCUACUUUAAUGGGCCCCACAAAGGGAAGUCUUUCUUUGCCAUUGUCACUGAUGUUGCAAGGGAUGGGUCAAAUCUGUCCUUAAGCCUGGGUCUUGUACUACAUCAAACAAUAAGUGUGGUCUAAACCUGCUCUUUUGGAAAGUGUUUUGGAGUAACAGCAGUUGUGAUUUGGCGCUACAAUCUAAGCAAGAAGAUUUAUGUAAAUUGGCAGAAAUAGCCAGCACAUCAUACAGGUUGACAAGUGAGUACCUGCCUUCACUGUGUUUCAUUAGCUAGUCUCACAACACCUCAAAAUAGUGUACACUUAUAUGGCUCUCAUCCGUAAUGCAAUCACAAGUGAAAAGAAAAAAAAGUGAAGACAGAGAAGAACAUGUCGAAAAGUGAGGAGGACAGGUAAGACAGAUGCACCGUGAGAAGCCUGUUUCGGCUAGAGCUCACUCUUGGUUGCACCUCCCUCAACUUCCCAAAUUUCAUAAAGGAGAAAAUGAGGGAGAAAAGGCAAGAAAAACUACAAGUAUAGACUGUGGAAAGGUGUGAAGGGGACAGAAAAAAGCAGAGCCAGGCUAAGAGGUAUGCAUCCAAGCCCCUCCAGAAUCCAUUUUUACUCAUUUCUUCCUCAUCACUCUUAUUGAUGAAGUUGUAGAUAAACAUAUCCAUUUGUAAAUUACCAGGAGGAGGUGGACUUUGAGAGGCAGAAAGGGCUGAUCAAUGCUGAUGAACGUGGAGGACAGUGAGUAGUGGAGGCCUUCCCUUAAACACAGAACUCUUUGGGUGGUCAAUCAGAGAGAGUGCUGGAGCCAAUUCCACUUUAACUGCACUCCUACUGUUAUUUGUUUGAAUGGAUUGGCCCUUUGGGGACAAAUGAAAAGUCCACUAGUCAUAGAUAUAGUCUCUUAUGACUCUGAUCCAAACUCUAACCCUAACCUUAUUGGUUUACUUACAUUUUCUCACUUUCUUAACCAAAGAUUUAUCUCUUCAAAUGUAUCUAACUUUAAAAACAUGGAUAUUCUGUUGCUUAAGCAUCCCCUUUGCUUUCUAACCUUCAACAAAAACAUAUCCAAAUAUCUGGUCCACUUUAUGCUACUGUUGAAUUAGGAAAUAAAUGAGGAAACCUGGUACAUG